rnacentral:rRNA from 1 species
AUUGAACGCUGGCGGCAGGCCUAACACAUGCAAGUCGAACGAGUGGCGGACGGGUGAGUAAUGUCUGGGAAACUGCCCGAUGGAGGGGGAUAACUACUGGAAACGGUAGCUAAUACCGCAUACCAUCGGAUGUGCCCAGAUGGGAUUAGCUAGUAGGUGGGGUAAUGGCUCACCUAGGCGACGAUCCCUAGCUGGUCUGAGAGGAUGACGAGCCACACGUGAACUGGAACACGGUCCAGACUCCUACGAGAGGCAGCAUUGGGUAAUAGUGCACAAUGUGCGCAAGCCUGAUGCAGCCAUGCCUCGUGUAUGAAGAAGGCCUUCGGGUUGUAAAGUACUUUCAGCGAGGAGGCGGUACUCGCAGAAGAAGCACCGGCUAACUCCGUGCCAGCAGCCGCGGUAAUAC